AUACGUGGGGGGCGAGCGUUGUCCGGAAUGAUUGGGCGUAAAGGGCGUGUAGGCGGCCUGUUAAGUCUGAAGUGAAAGUCCUGUUUUCAAGAUGGGAAUUGCUUUGGAUACUGGCGGGCUUGGGUGGGGGAGAGGGUAUUGGAAUUCCCGGUGGAGUGGUGAAAUGCGUAGAGAUCGGGAGGAACACCAGUGGCGAAGGCGGGUAACUGGACUGCAACUGACGCUGAGGCGCGAAAGUGUGGGGAGCAAACAGGAUUAGAUACCCUGGUAGUCCACACUGUAAACGAUGAAUGCUAGGUGUAGGGGGUAUCGACCCCUUCUGUGCCGCAGUAAACACAAUAAGCAUUCCGCCUGGGGAGUACGGCCGCAAGGUUGAAAAUCAAAUGAAUUGGCGGG
rnacentral:rRNA from 1 species